rnacentral:rRNA from 1 species
CCUACGGGAGGCAGCAGUGGGGAAUUUUGGACAAUGGGGGAAACCCUGAUCCAGCCAUGCCGCGUGCAGGAUGAAGGCCUUCGGGUUGUAAACUGCUUUUGUACGGAACGAAAAGGUCUUUUCUAAUAAAGAAGGCUCAUGACGGUACCGUAAGAAUAAGCACCGGCUAACUACGUGCCAGCAGCCGCGGUA